rnacentral:rRNA from 1 species
AAAGCGCGCGUAGGUGGUUUGUUAAGUUGGAUGUGAAAUCCCCGGGCUCAACCUGGGAACUGCAUCCAAAACUGGCAAGCUAGAGUAUGGUAGAGGGUGGUGGAAUUUCCUGUGUAGCGGUGAAAUGCGUAGAUAUAGGAAGGAACACCAGUGGCGAAGGCGACCACCUGGACUGAUACUGACACUGAGGUGCGAAAGCGUGGGGAGCAAACAGGAUUAGAUACCCCGGU